UACGUAGGGGGGCGAGCGUUGUCCGGAUUUAUUGGGCGUAAAGAGCUCGUAGGCGGUUUGGUAAGUCGGGUGUGAAAUCUCCACGCUCAACGUGGAGGGGCCACUCGAUACUGCCAUGACUCGAGUCCGGUAGAGGAGUGUGGAAUUCCUGGUGUAGCGGUGAAAUGCGCAGAUAUCAGGAGGAACACCGAUUGCGAAGGCAGCUCGCUGGAACGUUACUGACGCUGAGACGCGAAAGCGUGGGGAGCAAACAGG
rnacentral:rRNA from 1 species